UCAAAAAGUCUUGAGGUGCCGUGCACGCUUCAAAGCUUUUGAGUUCUUCCAGAAAACGUACCUCUUGAGAUGCAGAUUGUGCAGUGUGCAGACUUCAAACUUCAAACUUCGAACCCUAGUCUCCCUGCCGUUCGUCUCCUCUCCUUCGUACUUCUCUAUUUUCUGGCCGCUCCCCACUCUUCUCUUCCCCUCCUUCCCCUUUCUUUAAUUAUUAUUAUUUUUUAAUAAGUUCUAAGACCUAGCUGCAAAUAAGCCCCUUUUACAUCUCUGAAGCUUCGUCUCAGUGUAAUUUCGCCGCUGAGGUUUGAGAAAUUCGAUGAAGAUGGGUCACGGUUUGCAGCUGGAGGUGGUUUGAGCUGUCGCAAGUCUAAGCCUAGAAGACAAGUGCAGGUUGAAGGUGGAGCAGCUGCAGGUGCAGGGGGAUAAGUCGCGGGGUUGCAGAGGCUGGGUUGGCCAGGGUCUGGCCCAUAUAAAAUAAGGGGUUGUGCAGCCGUGGGUUGCUGGUGAAGCAAGUUUGAAAAUUGCUGCGAUUUUGGGUUGAAGGUUGCUGAGGGAGUGGGGUCGGUGAUGGGAAGAGCUUCAGCAAAUUGAAGCUUGCUGCCGCAGGUCUGGGGCGUGGGAGGAGGGUGAGACCGUGGGUGGCUAGGGCUCGUGGGUAAGGUGGUUGCACAGUGGGAAAACCGUUAAUCCGUUACCCAACGGGUUUGGUUACAGGAAAUACCUGUUCGGGUUUUCUACGGUUUCCGUUGCCAUCCCUUUCUCUGCCGUUUCAUUCUCCGCCUUUCGUUUUGCUUCUCUCUCUCGCCGUUUUCUGCAAUUGCCAUUUUUUUUUUCUGCCCCGUGUACACGUGUUGGUCAUCGCGGAAAGGCCCAUUUGCUUCCAUUCGCUGAUCUUAGAAAGGGCAUCCCUCCGUUCUCGGGUUCUCUCAGAGGCGUCUUCUCUACCCCGCGUUCCCCGACUUGCUCCAUCGUGGCAAUAGCUUUUGCGCUUUCUUCCACCCGUAGAACCCACUCUAUUCAGAUUGUCUGGGUCCUGCGAUUUUGUGAUAAUCUUCCAUGGUAUUUCUUAUGUUCUGGGUGCACAGAUUUUACCUUAUUCCAAUGGUGGCCCUGGAUCGCAUAUGCACUGUUAAUUUUUUUUUUUAAUUCUUUCUUAUCCCUUGUCUCUCUUCCCUCUCGCAGUUCUCCCGGGACUCAAGAGAGUCCUAACAACAACAUUUGAGCUUUGCAUAUUCGAAUUUACCCCUCUAUCAAAGAGUUCAAUAAGCCCAGUCUGCGGUGGGCUUUCCGACGAAGAUGCGAGUUUUUUCUGGCCAAUUUCAGGCCUUUCCCACCUUUUUUGGGUCCGAUGAAGAUAAUGAAUCUGGAACACAUAAAAAAUCUACCAUGCAGUUUAUGUAGAUGCUUUUGCUUGGAUGGAUGGUCACGAUUUAUGAAUCAAUUGCAUCCUUAUGUGCAGUGUACGGGGUUUUAGUGUUUGGAGCCCUAGCCGCAUCUGUUGGCCAAGUAGCUGUGUCAUCCCUCAUUGCCCUUUUCGGAGAUGCCACUACUGCUAUGAUUAAACAGUGAGGAGUUCCAUAAACGCACCUCGGUGGGUUUGUUCGAUGAGGAUCCCAGCUUUCUUUGGCCAAUUUCAAGACUUUCCGACCAUUUAUGGCUAGGAAGAAGAUCUGGGCAAAAAGGCCACUUUGCAAUUGGUCACCAACGAGGGUGCAGCCACUUGCAACUGGUUACAGAACUUCCUGUGUCUGAAUAUUUUAACCGUGUGCCCUGGCUGAAGGCAAAUAAUUUUUGUUCGCAACUGAUACAAAGGCAGAAGAAAAGAGGUAUUAGUGAACGGGUUGCAGAUAUCAAGACCCGGACCCAUGCCAUGAAAUGCCUCACUUCUUUUUCUGAAGCCAUAGGUCCAGGAUUAAUUUUUGAAAAAGCAAGUUUAGAUGUGAUUCUUCUACUAGCCAUCAUUUUUCUGGAUGCCUUCUGUUUUUCCUGAAAGCAAGGAUGCUUAAUCUUAUACCCAUGCGCAUGCACUAUAUAUUGCUCGUUCUCCAAUGAUUGAUUGAUAUUUCUUCUUCUUGUAGCUUUAAAAAAAUUAUGAAAGAGCACAAGAACCCUAAGGUUCUCAGCGAGGGAGUAUUGUGGAUGGUUUCAGCGGUUGAAGACUUUGGUGUUGCAUAUGAAACUUAAGGUUCGCUUGGAGUCAAAAGAAGCUGUCAAUAAAAUUUUAGAAGAAGCUAAUGCAUGCAUCCAGCCAACUGGAACUAACUGCAACAAGAACUUGGUCUCUGCAACCUUAACGGUUGUUGGUACUGUUGCAUCUGCAAUGGGCGCACCAGUUGAAAAGUUCAGUAAGAGCAUUCUGUCGGAUGUUUUGAAAUGUCUAGGAGACAAUAAGAAGCAUAUGAGACAAUGCACCUUAACUGCUUUAGACUCAUGUCUCUCUGCUGUUCAUCUUGAUAAAAUGGUUCCUUAUAUUACAGCAGCUAUAUCAGACACCAAGCUUGGUGCAGAAGGGUGGAAAGAUCUCGUCGAGUGGUUGACAAGACAGCUUUCCGGGUUAAGUGAUUUCUCUGAUGCUGCUCAUCUUCUGAAACCAGCUUCCUCUGCUUUGACGGAGGAUAGAGAGCGAUUGGUAGCUAAAAAGUUUAAGUUUGAAGAGCCACGGAUAGAACACUUAAUGAUAUUUCGAAGUACUUUAGAGAGGAUGUGCAUAGGCGGCUUCUUUCUACAGAUUUUAAGAAGCAAGUUGAUGGGCUUGAUAUACUACACAAGGCGCUUCCAACCAUUAUAAAGGAAAUUAUUCAAGUAUUGGAUAUACUGCUGAGGUGGUUUGUUUUACAAUUUUAAGAAAAGAGAUUCUAAGUUCUUGAAGAAGCAAGUAAAGAUGCUCCAAAGAAGCAAGGUCCUAAGUGUUCCAAGAUUGUUGAAGUACCAGAGACUAUAGAACAAUGUGUCGUAGCAGCAGCAGCUAUGAGAUUUUCAAUCCUGAUAGAUUCUGAAACCGAUGCUCAUGGGGGUAGUUCUUCUAGUAUGAGUACCAGGGACAAG